rnacentral:snRNA from 1 species
CUGCUUUGGCAGCACAUAUACUAAAAUUGGAAUGAUACAGAGAAGAUUAGCAUGGCCUCUGCGCAAGGGUGACACACAAAUUUGUGAAGUGUUCCAUAUUUUU